UCUGCCAGGGCUUCUUUUAGUACAAAGCACUUGCUAGAGCAGCACAUUCAGUACUGUGCUACCUCACACCAUCUUUCUCAAUAUUCUAGGUGCCACAGCCUCUCGUGCCUUUAGUCAAUUAAUGCUGCAUCUCAUCUGUCUUUGGACACUGACAGAAAAACCCUUUAGAAGUAAGCUACAACAAGUUGUGAUGUUACUUCACCCCAGCAUAAUCCCUCCCAGCAGGUGGCAUAUACAACAGAGUUCUAAGAAACUCCUGGAAAAGGAGUCUCUCCAUCUUGGGUGUCCAGAUCUGCUGUCUCGAGACCCUUUUAUGAGGAUGAAUUUAAUUUUCAGCAACAGUAGGGAAACUCCUGUUCAGCAUGCACACCUGAGAUGGCCAUAUAUCCCAAGACUUGUGCGCAACAUGUAGGAGAAUCACAGAGAAGAUAAAGAGCUACAGUACAAAGUGAAAGAAGUUGCAGAGGUAAUCAGGAAAGUACAGACUGGAGUGAGUGGCUGGAACAUCUUAUUUGAGUCACUCACCAUCACUGAAACCUGGCUAAUCUGAAUUCUACCAAUCAAGACCUCUACACUGCUCCCCUCUUCUGCUGUACUAAUCCACUUGCUAGCUCCCCACUUCUUCCUGCUCUACUGUUUCACCACUGGAAGCAGGUACCCUCAAACAGAACAAAACAGCAGGAAUCAACAGCUAAACUAG